UACGAAGGGCCCGAGCGUUAUCCGGAUUUAUUGGGUUUAAAGGGUGCGUAGGCGGGUUAUUAAGUCAGUGGUGAAAGCCUACAGCUUAACUGUAGAAUUGCCAUUGAUACUGAUGAUCUUGAGUAUGAUUGAGGUGGGCGGAAUGUGUCAUGUAGCGGUGAAAUGCUUAGAUAUGACACAGAACACCGAUUGCGAAGGCAGCUCACUAAAGUAUAACUGACGCUGAGGCACGAAAGCGUGGGGAGCAAACAGG
rnacentral:rRNA from 1 species